AGAAUCUACAGAAAUGCCUGAGCUCAAUCAGGAGAGAGACCCCAGAGGGCUUCAGUGUGGUCACACAGAGCAACAACAGAGAAAUCUCCCCCACUGGGUCCUGUUGAGGAUUAUACCCUCCUGCGGAUGCCCUGCUCUGGUAUGGCUAACUCUAGCUGCACACUAACCAGGUUGCUGUACUGGAAUCUCAAGGGUUGACACGUUCAUGCUGUUUCCUUGGGUCCUGUCACGGGUCACCACAGAGAAGAAAUCAGUGCCUGCCCCUCCUCUUUGCCUCAUGAAGAUCUUGAAGACCACAAUGAGGUCUCCCCUCAUUCUUGUCCAGGCUGAACAGACCAAGCGACCUCAGCUGCUCCUCAUAUGGCUUCACCUCCAGACACUUCACCAUCCUUGUGAACCUCCUUUGGCCGCUCUCUAAUAGCUUCAUUUGGUUUUUUGGUUUUUUUUUGUAUUGUGGUGCUGAAAACCUCACCUCAAGGUGAGGCUGUACCAGAGCAGAGUGGGACAAUCCCCUCCUUGGUGAUGAUCCCCUCCUGAUCACCAUCAGCGCACAACUUUCUGCUGUGUCUUUUCCU